rnacentral:pre_miRNA from 1 species
CAGGUACUCCCUCCGUCCGGAAAUACUUGUCACCAAAAUAAAUAAAAGGGGAUGUAUCUAGACGUAUUUUAGUUAUAGAUACACCCCUUCUUAUCCAUUUUGAUGACAAGUAUUUUCGGACGGAGGGAGUAUUAU